rnacentral:rRNA from 1 species
AUGGACGAAUUCGAGCUGGAGGAUAACCUAGAGUUCAUCCUCCAGAGCAUCCAGGAGCUCAUAGAGGAUCAGGGGGACAACAAUCCCUUCGGCGAGGUCAACCAGAAUGAGCUCCUCGCCAACCUCGUCAACUAUGACCAGGAUAACUUGAUGCCGGACGUGUCCGCGGAGGACGUAGUGAACGGGAAGGACGUGCAGGGGAUUCCGUGGGAAAAGAUGCUGUUCCCGAGGGAUCAGUACCGGGAGAUGAAGAUGAAGGGCUACAAGAACUAUCAGAACCUCAGUUAUGCCCGGGAGGACGCUUUGCAGGAUUGCAAACAAGUUGAGAGGGACGGCCCUUACUACGAUUUUCAGUACAACACGAGGCGUGCGCGACCAUCAAUUGUGCAUUUUCAGUUGAGGAAUUUGGUCUGGGCAACAACCAAGCAUGAUGUUUAUACAGUACACAAUCAAUCAAUGACACACUGGUCAUCACUAAACCAGAUAAGCACUGAGCUAAUCAAUGGUGAUGAUUGCAUUAUACCAAAACAGAGAGGGCAUGGUUCACAAUCUGUCUCAAUGGUCCAGUUCACAACUAUGGCUGUAGAUAAUGAUUUAUUGGUAGUUGGUGGUUUCCAUGGAGAGCUUAUAUGCAAGCGUCUGGAGGAUGAUGGGAUAGUUUUCAGCACGAGAGUUACAGAUGAUGAGAAUGCUAUAACCAACUCUUUAGAGAUAUACCAGGAUCCCAAUGGAUCAAGACGGUUGGUGGUUGCUAAUAAUGACUGCUCUGUCAGAAUUUUUGAUACCAAGUAUUUUGACCUACUUAAUCACUAUGUUUUCCCAUGGUCUGUGAAUAGUGUUUCGGUUAACCCUGAUGGAACACUUUUUGCUGUCCUUGGUGAUCACGAGGAUGGCUUGGUAGUGGAUCCCAAGUGUGGCAAGCCGAUUGGUAAAGUUAGAGGCCAUCUGGAUUACUCAUUCUCAUCUGCGUGGCACCCAGACGGCAAUAUAUUGGCUACCGGGAGUCAAGACACAACAUGUCGGCUGUGGGACAUUAGAAACCUAUCACAAUCCUUGGCUAUCCUUGGUGGAAGGCUAGGCUCAAUACGUUGUAUCAAAUUCUCUUCAGAUGGCCGCUUUUUGGCAACAGCAGAGCCUAUAGAUUUCGUUCACAUCUAUGAUUGUUUUGCCGAUUAUGGCAAAGCUCAUGAGAUUGACUUUUUUGGUGAAAUAGCUGGUUUGUCAUUCAGCCCAGACACAGAGGCCUUCUAUAUUGGCGUAGCAGACCAAACAUAUGGAGGCCUCAUGGAGUUCAAGAGGAGGCACCAGCAUCAUUACUUGAACUGCCUGUGGUGA